UGAAAGUGUCCUAUGAGAAAUUCAGCAGCCUGAGGGCCGAAGACAUUGAGCAGAUGCGGUUUAAACAGAGGCUGAAAGUGAUCCAGUCCUUGGAGGACACGGCCAAGAGGAGUGUGGUAUGGGUGCCAGCAGGGCUGGGCGGGGGCUGGGCCAGGGGGCAGCAGUGCCUUCUCCACAGAGCAGGGCGGGUACAGGGCUCCACCGCACCCAGUCUCCUACACUGCUUUGGUAUGUACAUCAUGGUAGGAUUCAUGGGACCGGGAUCCAGGGGUGUAGGUGGGAAUGUGGGGAGAGGUUCCAGUCACUUUUCUCUGCUGGUGGAUGCGUCACCGGGAAGCUUCUCAGAUGGCUCCCACCCUGAAAGCCACAUGCCCUCUGGGCCGAGCCCGCCCAGCCUGGCUGUCCCAUGUGCUCCCUGCCCCACUCCCAGGUAGCAACAUGCCGCCACCCUCCGCACACCCCAAAUGGCGUGUGUGCCACAAGCUUCUGUUCUCAUCUCUGGAGGGGCCAGGCCUUCCCUGCCAUCCUGUGCUGCAAGACCUGUUCGUGGUCUCUGCCCCCAAAGGCAGGGACUUCCUCCAUUGU
rnacentral:sRNA from 1 species